GGAUUCAUUUGGGAAUUCUAGUGUUGUACAGGCACUCUAUUGCAAUUAAGUCAAAAUUAGAUUUAUAUGAAAUUAAAAUAAAUUAAAUAAGAGACGUAAGAAAGCAGCAGAAUAGCCACUUUCCGCCACAACAAGCCGUUACAGUGUGAGGUGCAAUGGGCUCCGAUUGCGCUGACUGAACUCUGAAGGGUACAUUUGCAAGCCUAUGUCCAUCAGCUUCUCCAACACAUAUUAAGUGCUUAGGAUGGAGGUGAAGAUGAGGAAUGUUAUGAUAUCAUGCAUUUCUAUGAGUAGAGCGAGCUAUUUUAUUACGCAACUUGUCUUCUUAGUCCUCCAGUCAUGCAUGCUAAACGAGGCUGCAUCAUGUGCAAUAAGAUUGAGGAGGAAUUGCAUGCAUAGCUUGAGGGUAAUUAAAGAUGGAGUUGCAAUGCAAGGUCGCGGAGAAGGUCUUAAAGCCACUCAGUGGUCAUUUGGAUGCCACUUACACAGUGGUUGAGAGAGUUCAGUGGGGGCAAGGAUCAAAUAUGAAGUGAAAAAAUAAUAAUAGGGCAAGCAUAAAGCAUUUAGAAAGAUGAGGAUGGCAAUUGCUCCCAACAAAACAAUGUAAAUCCACCACUUGAGAAAAAAGCACGGAAUAGAUAUCUUGGAUUCACUGAGGGUUUGGACAAAAGUUGCUGGGUUUCUGGCAAUCCACAUAGUAUACACUGCUUCCGCCCCUGAAUACUGAUUGUAGUGGAGCCCCUUAUUUGAAUAAGAAAUGACUGCUACAACCCUUGUGAAUAUGUGUUAACUGCUAACUAAAAUCAAUGUUCAUCAAUGAGUGCAUGCUCAAAGAAUACAAUGUAUGAUGGAUGUGCAGUUAUACAAGAGUAGACAAGAUUAGAAGUGAUCACGUUGGCAUGAAGGUUCAAGUAAGGCAUCAAUGAUAAAUUAGAGAAGAUCGCUUGAAUUGAUUUGGUCGUGACCCACGUCAACCACAAAAUGUGUAAGUCCAUAGAUGUGAAACCAUGGUGAAUAAAGGUAAUAAAAGAGGAUGAAGUUUUCUCUAAGUAAAUACAAUCUCUUGGGAUCCAUGCAGAUCUAGUGAAACAUAAGGUGCAAUGGAAGAAAAAGAUCUGUAUAGGUGAUACCUUAGUUGAGAAUAUGUUUUAAUGAUGUUGGCAAUUUUACUUUACGUCCUCUGCUUUUCUAAUAGGUAGUAUUAUUAUUACUUUGAAUAAUAUUGGUUUGCGAUGAGUUUAUAUAGAGUAACAUGGUCAGUAAGGAUUCAUAUAGCAAACCCAACUUGUUUGAGUCUGAGGUACGACUGUUAUUGUAUUUAUUGGUCUAUUUGCUAAUUUGAUAAUGGUGAUUGAAACAACAUAAUCAUCCUAAA